UGUUGAACCUCCCAGGCAGAAGAGAUGAUUUCAUUGCUCUUUGGAGGCACUGCCCCUGUGAUUCUGGAGCCAGACAUUGUUGCACUUCAGAAAAUCUGGUCCUGGCUCUUGCCAGAGGAUGGGAUUGUGGCAUCGCGCCCAUGACUUGGGCUGAGCCUGAAAAAAAACCUCCAGAAGGGCUUUCAAUCCAGCUGUGAUGCUGAGGGUUCCAGCAAAUAGCAAGGAACGCUUUGCCUCCCCAGGAAGUAGUGAAUGAGGACGGGGAAAGGUUUGCUGGCACACAGAGGAAAAUCACACCGUUUCAGGCAAGGCAGAACAAUGGUUCUCACCGAUGCCGUGUGCUGUUGGGAAGUGAACGUGAUCACGGAGGUAUUCAUUUCCUACCUGUGAGUUUUGGCUGGGGUGCUUCCUGCAGGCAGGCAGGACACGCGCUGCCUUGGCUCAGGCACUGCUCUGAGGUUGUGCUCUGCUUGCUGCAAGCAUGGAGAUUG
ensembl:lncRNA